GUCAGUCUGCCUGCUGCCUUGCUGCCGGCCAUGACAGUAAUGGACUAAACCUCUGAAACUUGAGGAACCCCACAGCGAACUGCUUCUCUGAGACUGCUGAGAGCCCAGCAGGCCGUCUUUCUCAGACACAUCUAAGACGUGCACGCCCUCUGACCUCUUGGAGUCCAUCCUAGAGAGACAUGCACAAGAGUGCACAGGACAACCCCAUGGGAUGCUCACAGCAACACGAUCUGCAGAAUCCCCCGAGAAGCUGAGCAUGUGAUACACACUUGGGAGGUGAAGCAGGAGUAUCUGAAAUUCAAGGCCAACCUUGGCUAAAUAGCAAGUUUACAUGCUGUCCCAAACACAAACCUCCAAAUUUACAAGAUGAAGGUAACAGUGAUGGUGUAUGAUUUUUAUGAAGAUGGUGUGGGGUUUGCUGGGAACUUAGAGUCUCAAAACCAAAGAAAGGAAACCUAUAAGCAGCCAUGCCCUGAGGGGAGGAGCCAACAGGAAUGCCUGCUCAUCAGAUAAGCUUCUUAGGGUGGUCCUAAAUCCAAUCAUGGGUACCCUCAUCGACAGACAGCCUGGAGAUUCGAAAACCUACAGGGAAAAGGCCAAGAUCGUGUUGGGAGAGAGACCACAGUGACUCACUGGAAGCCCCAGGAAUCCUAUGGUAACUGGCAGCUGCAGGAGGCUGGGAGCCGGGCUUGGAACAGCCAGUCCUUAAAAGCCUCUAGAAGGGACCAACCCUGAUCACACCUUGAUCUCAGAUGGUUAGCUUCCAGCCUUUGAGAGGGCAGAUGACUGAUGUCACUUGGCUUGUGGAACACUUGGUCCCUAAGUGAGUUAGGAAGUGAGAAAGCUACAAUUUCCUACACUCUGAAGUUUGAACUUCAUUUCUUCCCAGAUCAUCAGCUGAUAAGAUCCUCAGGGCUGGAGAGAUAGCUGGGGCAUUAAAAGUUUUUACUGUCCUUCCAGAGUUCAGAUCCAAGCAUGCAAGCAUCACAACCACUGUAACUCCAGCGCCAGCAGAUUCAAAGUCCCUUCCGACCUCCUUGGGCUUUCGGGCAUGCAUAUAUGCACACAUACACACAGCCAAACCGUGUUUUUAUUGUUUUAAAGAGGGGAGGGCUGCGGAGGUUGCUCAGUGAUUAAAGGCACUGGUUGCUCUUUCAGAUGACCCAGGUUAGGUUUGCAUCACCCCAUGGUGGGUCCCAACUGCCCGAAACUCCACUUCCAGGGAAUCUGGACCCCAGGAACACAUGUGUUGUGCACGCAGGCAUAAUACUCACACACACACAAAGAAAACGCACCUCUUAUAAAAAGUUUUUUUCUUUUGUUUUAUAUUUUUGAGACAGGGUUUCUCUGUGUAGCUCUGGCUGGCUGUCCUCUGUAAACCAGGCUAGCUUUGAAUUCAUAGAUCCUCCUGCCUCUGCUUCCCAAGUGCUGGGAUUAAAAGUGUAUAUUAUCAUACCUGACACACAUAGAUGUGUACACACACACACACACACACACACACACACACACACACAUUUGUGACAGUGUCUUAUGUAU